rnacentral:rRNA from 1 species
AGAGUUUGAUCCUGGCUCAGGACGAACGCUGGCGGCGUGCCUAAUACAUGCAAGUCGAACGAAACUUUCUUACACCGAAUGCUUGCAUUCACCGUAAGAAGUUGAGUGGCGGACGGGUGAGUAACACGUGGGUAACCUGCCUAAAAGAAGGGGAUAACACUUGGAAACAGGUGCUAAUACCGUAUAUCUCUAAGGAUCGCAUGAUCCUUAGAUGAAAGAUGGUUCUGCUAUCGCUUUUAGAUGGACCCGCGGCGUAUUAACUAGUUGGUGGGGUAACGGCCUACCAAGGUGAUGAUACGUAGCCGAACUGAGAGGUUGAUCGGCCACAUUGGGACUGAGACACGGUCCAAACUCCUACGGGAGGCAGCAGUGGGGAAUAUUGCACAAUGGGCGAAAGCCUGAUGCAGCAACGCCGCGUGAGCGAUGAAGGCCUUCGGGUCGUAAAGCUCUGUCCUCAAGGAAGAUAAUGACGGUACUUGAGGAGGAAGCCCCGGCUAACUACGUGCCAGCAGCCGCGGUAAUACGUAGGGGGCUAGCGUUAUCCGCGG